rnacentral:rRNA from 1 species
ACGAACGCUGGCGGCGCGCCUAACACAUGCAAGUCGAACGAGCGAGAGAGAGCUUGCUUUCUCGAGCGAGUGGCGAACGGGUGAGUAACGCGUGAGGAACCUGCCUCAAAGAGGGGGACAACAGUUGGAAACGACUGCUAAUACCGCAUAAGCCCACGACCCGGCAUCGGGUAGAGGGAAAAGGAGCAAUCCGCUUUGAGAUGGCCUCGCGUCCGAUUAGCUAGUUGGUGAGGUAACGGCCCAACAAGGCGACGAUCGGUAGCCGGACUGAGAGGUUGAACGGCCACAUUGGGACUGAGACACGGCCCAGACUCCUACGGGAGGCAGCAGUGGGGAAUAUUGCACAAUGGGGGAAACCCUGAUGCAGCGACGCCGCGUGGAGGAAGAAGGUCUUCGGAUUGUAAACUCCUGUUGUUGAGGAAGAUAAUGACGGUACUCAACAAGGAAGUGACGGCUAACUACGUGCCAGCAGCCGCGGUAA